rnacentral:rRNA from 1 species
UGCGUAGGCGGACAUUUAAGUCAGAUGUGAAAUACCCGAGCUUAACUUGGGUGCUGCAUUUGAAACUGGGUGUCUAGAGUGCAGGAGAGGUAAGUGGAAUUCCUAGUGUAGCGGUGAAAUGCGUAGAGAUUAGGAAGAACACCAGUGGCGAAGGCGACUUACUGGACUGUAACUGACGCUGAGGCAUGAAAGCGUGGGGAGCAAACAGGAUUAGAUACCCCCGUA